rnacentral:rRNA from 1 species
AAUAUUGGACAAUGGGGGCAAUCCUGAUCCAGCCAUGCCGCGUGUGUGAAGAAGGUCUUCGGAUUGUAAAGCACUUCAAGUUGGAAGGAAGGGCUUUAGGUUAAUACCCUGAAGUUUUGACGUUACCAACAGAAUAAGAACCGGAUAACUCAGCGCUAGCAGCCGCGGUAAUACAGCGGGUGCAAGCGUUAAUCGGAAUUCCUGGGCGUAAAGCGCGCGUAGGUUGUUCAGUAAGAUGGGUUUGAAAUCCCCGGGCUUAACCUGGGAACUGCUUUCAUAACUGCUGAGCUAGAGUACGGUAGAGGGUAGCGGAAUUUCCUGUGUAGCGGUGAAAUGCGUAGAUAUAGGAAGGAACACCAGUGGCGAAGGCGACUACCUGGACUGAUACUGACACUGAGGUGCGAAAGCGUGGGGAGCAAAC